GCUGUACAGCCACUAGAAAGAGUCGUCGUUCUAACAGCCUGUCGGAGGGAGGAGCAGAUGCCAGAAGAGGUGAAUAUAGACGACUUGCUGGAACUUCAGACGGAUGGAGAGCGGAGAAGCCGAUUACAGAUAAUGUUUAGAUUGUGCAGGAAAAACACAGACGAAUUCAUCACUGAGCUAUUAAGAAAGUUACAGGGACUUCAUAAAGUGGAGGUGCAGAAGGCUGGGCUGGAGUCCCCACAACAACACUAAGAAGCUGUUGAUGGACAGAGCUGUGUUAUUCAGGAGACCGGGAAAUUUCUUUUUAAUGAAUUCUUUCGAACCUGAAUGGCACAUGUUUUGAUUGCCUCUUGCCAAUGCAGAAUAAGCUUUCAAAGUCAAUUAUUUUGCCAAAUAUAUAAAAUUUUGUUUUUGUUUGUUAUUUUGUUAAUGCAAUUAAAGAGAUUGACACAG